UGGUGGAUUGAUUUGUCUGGUUGAUUCCGAUAACGAACGAGAUCUCCGCAAGAUACCUGGUCUGGUAGGGUCUUUUCCCUACUCAGUCAGUUUCUGGACAGUGCAUGGCAAGUGCAAGGAAGUGGAGGCAAUAACA
rnacentral:rRNA from 1 species